rnacentral:rRNA from 2 species
GCCUGACUGACAAAAGUUUACGCUUAAAGAGUUGAUUACGUUACUAAGAGAUGAUUUAUUGUAAAUUUUAGUGGCGGACUGGUGAGUAAUACAUAGGUAAUCUGCCUUUUAGAGGGGAAUAACUAGGAGAAAUCCUAGCUAAUACCGCGUAAGACCACACUUAGGCAUCUAAGAGAGGUCAAAGGAGUAAUCCGCUAAAAGAUGAGCCUGUGGCUGAUUAGUUAGUUGGUGGGGUAAGAGCCUACCAAGACGAUGAUCAGUAGCCGAGCUGAGAGGCUGGCCGGCCACAUUGGGACUGAGAUACGGCCCAGACUCCUACGGGAGGCAGCAGUUGGGAAUAUUGGACAAUGGAGGAAACUCUGAUCCAGUGACGCCGCGUGAAGGAAGAAGGUCUUCGGAUUGUAAACUUAUUUUAUCAGGGAAGAAGAAAGUGACAGUACCUGAAGAAAAAGGACCGGCAAACUACGUGCCAGCAGCCGCGGUAAUACGUAGGGUCCAAGCGUUAUCCGGAUUUACUGGGUGUAAAGGGCGAGUAGACGGCGCUGUAAGUCAGCUGUGAAAACUUAGGGCUCAACCUUAAGCCUGCAGCUGAAACUGUAGUGCUAGAGUGCAGGAGAGGUAAGCGGAAUUCCUAGUGUAGCGGUGAAAUGCGUAGAUAUUAGGAGGAACGCCAGUGGCGAAGGCGGCUUACUGGACUGUAACUGACGUUGAGGCGCGAAAGUGUGGGGAGCAAACAGGAUUAGAUACCGGUGGUAGUCCACACCGUAAACGAUGGAUACUAGGUGUAGGCGAGAUAUAA